GGGGGUGAUCGGUUUCGACGGUGGUCGACACACCAGAGGAAGCGGGUCGAGGAUGUGGGGUUAUCUCGUUAACGCUCCCUGCAAAACAAUAGGUGCCGAUUCCAAGCGCACCGACUUCGCCCUCGCCGCCUGAGCGAGCCUCGAAGUCCGUCAGCCUGAGCUAGUUCCCGACUCAGUGCCUGGCGUCAGCUAGGGGACUUGCUGUGCAGUCAUGUCGAGGGGCUGCGCGGGACUCUUACUCGACUGGGCCUGUCAGGGGACGUGUGCGUGCGAGCCCUGGGGCCGAGAAAAGCCAUAGCGCACUGCACCCGGAGAAGCUCUGGUCUCUCGUCAUCGGACGCGGGUUCAAUUCCCGCCACCUCCACCA
rnacentral:tmRNA from 1 species